rnacentral:rRNA from 1 species
CUCAUGAUGAACGCUAGCUACAGGCUUAACACAUGCAAGUCGAGGGGCAUCAGGAAGAAAGCUUGCUUUCUUUGCUGGCGACCGGCGCACGGGUGAGUAACACGUAUCCAACCUGCCCUUUACUCGGGGAUAGCCUUUCGAAAGAAAGAUUAAUGCCCGAUGGCAUAGUUCUUCCGCAUGGUAGAACUAUUAAAGAAUUUCGGUCAUCGAUGGGGAUGCGUUCCAUUAGGUUGUUGGCGGGGUAACGGCCCACCAAGCCUUCGAUGGAUAGGGGUUCUGAGAGGAAGGUCCCCCACAUUGGAACUGAGACACGGUCCAAACUCCUACGGGAGGCAGCAGUGAGGAAUAUUGGUCAAUGGACGAGAGUCUGAACCAGCCAAGUAGCGUGAAGGAUGACUGCCCUAUGGGUUGUAAACUUCUUUUAUACGGGAAUAAAGUGAGGCACGUGUGCCUUUUUGUAUGUACCGUAUGAAUAAGGAUCGGCUAACUCCGUGCCAGCAGCCGCGGUAAUACGGAGGAUCCGAGCGUUAUCCGGAUUUAUUGGGUUUAAAGGGAGCGUAGGCGGACGCUUAAGUCAGUUGUGAAAGUUUGCGGCUCAACCGUAAAAUUGCAGUUGAUACUGGGUGUCUUGAGUACAGUAGAGGCAGGCGGAAUUCGUGGUGUAGCGGUGAAAUGCUUAGAUAUCACGAAGAACUCCGAUUGCGAAGGCAGCCUGCUGGACUGUAACUGACGCUGAUGCUCGAAAGUGUGGGUAUCAAACAGGAUUAGAUACCCUGGUAGUCCACACAGUAAACGAUGAAUACUCGCUGUUUGCGAUAUACAGUAAGCGGCCAAGCGAAAGCGUUAAGUAUUCCACCUGGGGAGUACGCCGGCAACGGUGAAACUCAAAGGAAUUGACGGGGGCCCGCACAAGCGGAGGAACAUGUGGUUUAAUUCGAUGAUACGCGAGGAACCUUACCCGGGCUUGAAUUGCAACUGAAUGAUGUGGAGACAUGUCAGCCGCAAGGCAGUUGUGAAGGUGCUGCAUGGUUGUCGUCAGCUCGUGCCGUGAGGUGUCGGCUUAAGUGCCAUAACGAGCGCAACCCUUAUCGAUAGUUACCAUCAGGUUAUGCUGGGGACUCUGUCGAGACUGCCGUCGUAAGAUGUGAGGAAGGUGGGGAUGACGUCAAAUCAGCACGGCCCUUACGUCCGGGGCUACACACGUGUUACAAUGGGGGGUACAGAAGGCAGCUACACGGCGACGUGAUGCUAAUCCCUAAAGCCUCUCUCAGUUCGGAUUGGAGUCUGCAACCCGACUCCAUGAAGCUGGAUUCGCUAGUAAUCGCGCAUCAGCCACGGCGCGGUGAAUACGUUCCCGGGCCUUGUACACACCGCCCGUCAAGCCAUGAAAGCCGGGGGUACAAGAAGUGCGUAACCGCAAGGAGCGCCCUAGGGUA